GCCGACACGACUGGCGCCGCUCCCGGCCCCUUGGGAGCGUCGCGGCGGCCGAAAGCGCCAGCGAGUAAGGUUUACAGGGCCGUAAGGUUUACAGGGCCGGGGCGGCCAUGCCGUGGGAUUGAAAAAUAACUAAAGGAAGAAGAACAAGGUUUACCAUCUGUCCACCCCAACAUACAGUCUUCCUAGUCCAGGCAGCGCUUUUGAGGCAUGUCUCUUCUCAGAAUAAGGAAGGAUGAUCUGGAGAUGAAAGAGCCUGCUGCUACCCCAGAGAGGAG
rnacentral:lncRNA from 12 species